GAAGAGCAGGGCUCGUAGGGGGGUCUGCUCCUGGGGUGGGGGGCAGCAGGAGGGGGUGGCAGUGGCCCCCUGUGCUGCCAGCAUCACCUGCAGCCCUGCCAGGCAGGGGAUGCUGUCUGCCCAUGAAGCCCUGACUGGGGGGGGGGGGGCAGUGGGUUUUGGGGCCGCUGUGCCCACCCCUGGUGUGAAGCAUUGCUCACGAUUUGUACAACUGCGGCCACUGCAUCAGCAAUAAAGCUCACCCAACGCUUCCGUGCGCCUCGGGGACAGGGCUGGGGGGACCGUCACCCCCCAGGAGCCACAGCCACUUCACCCCUGCUGCACACCAAGGUCCUGGGAGGGGGGUCCUGGGGUUGUUUGGAUGCAGCUCCCUUCUGGGGCAGCUCUGGCAGCACCCAGAGCCCUGCCAUGGGGACACCACAACUGGGACACCCCAAAAAAAACAAAAGGGCACCUCACCCCAAAAUUGGGCACCCUGAGGCCACCUGGGCACCCCAAAUUGGGCACCCAGCCGCUGUUGGAUAUCCAGAACCAGGCACCCCCCAGCCACGCAGUCACCCCCAGCUGGGCACCCUGGGGCCACACAGAGCUGUGCCAGGGCUCCUCAGAGGCGGUGAUGGCAGCACCCAGCUGAGGCCAGAUCUGCAGUGCAGGUGGGCACCGAGAUGGGCCCUUGGGGGGGCUCCCUCCUUUCUUGGGGUUCCCCUGGCUGCAGGCUGCGUGGCUGAGUGGCAGGUUCUGGAAACGGGGAGAAAUGCCUUUAUUUGGGCAUUUCACACGAGGACACCCGUGCAGCGCGGGCGGGCGGCCAGCCUGGCUGGGGGGAGGCAUGAGGACACAGGGGUGAGGGGGGCCCCACCACCCCCAGCCCCGCUGCUGCCCCCCGGGGUCACACUGCUCAUCGGGGACGGGGACAGAGCAGGGGUGUCUGGGGGUGUGGGAGUUUGGGGGUGCUUGGCACCCUGCUGGGGGCACCUAUGUGUGGGGGCGUGGUACCCAGAGACCCCAUGGGACACCGCAAGUGGGUUACCCUGGGGUGAACCCAAAAUGGGCACGGUGGGGCACCCCGGAGCCCUCUGGGCACCCAAACCAGGCACCUUGGGGAACCCAGACCGGGCACCGUGGAGCCCUCAGGUCACCCAAACCGGGCGCCUUGGAGCACCCAAACCGGGCACCGUCCUGGAGGCCCCCCGGAGCCCUCUGGGCACCGAAUCGGAGCACCGUGGGGCACCCACACCGGGCACCUG
rnacentral:lncRNA from 1 species